rnacentral:rRNA from 1 species
UACGUAGGGUGCAAGCGUUGUCCGGAAUUAUUGGGCGUAAAGAGCUCGUAGGUGGUUCGUCGCGUCUGCUGUGAAAGUCCGAGGCUUAACCUCGGAUCUGCAGUGGGUACGGGCAGACUAGAGUGCAGUAGGGGAGACUGGAAUUCCUGGUGUAGCGGUGAAAUGCGCAGAUAUCAGGAGGAACACCGAUGGCGAAGGCAGGUCUCUGGGCUGUAACUGACGCUGAGGAGCGAAAGCAUGGGGAGCGAACAGG